UACAGAGGAGCCAAGCGUUGUCCGGAUUGACUGGGCGUAAAGCGCACGCAGGCGGCUGCGCGCGUGGGGUGUGAAAUCUGGCCGCUUAACGGCCAGGCGCCAUCCCAUACGGCGCGGCUUGAGCCUUGCAGGGGGCGGUGGAAUUGCCGGUGUAGUGGUGAAAUGCGUAGAGAUCGGCAGGAACACCCAGGGGGAAACCAGCCGCCUGGGCAAGCGCUGACGCUGAGGUGCGAGAGCGUGGGGAGCGAACCGG
rnacentral:rRNA from 1 species